AGAGGAAGUAAAAGUCGUAACAAGGUUUCCGUAGGUGAACCUGCGGAAGGAUCAUUAUUGAAGUAAACCUGAUAAGUUGCUGCUGGUUCUUUUGGGAGCAUGUGCACACUUGUCAUCUUUAUAUCUUCACCUGUGCACCUUUUGUAGACCUGAGUAUCUCUCUGGAUGCUUUUUAGCACUCAGGAUUUGAGGAUUGACUUUUUUUUGUCUCUUCUUCACAUUUUCAGGUCUAUGUUUCUUCAUAUACCCUAUGUAUGUUAAUAGAAUGUCAUUAAUGGGCCUUUGUGCCUAUACAAAUUACAACUUUCAGCAACGGAUCUCUUGGCUCUCGCAUCGAUGAAGAACGCAGCGAAAUGCGAUAAGUAAUGUGAAUUGCAGAAUUCAGUGAAUCAUCGAAUCUUUGAACGCACCUUGCGCUCCUUGGUAUUCCGAGGAGCAUGCCUGUUUGAGUGUCAUUAAUAUAUCAACCUUCUUUGGUUGGAUGUGGGUUUGCUGGCCUCUUGAGGUCAGCUUUCCUCAAAUGCAUUAGCGGACAACAUUUUGCCAACCGUUCAUUGGUGUGAUAAUUAUCUACGCUAUUGACGUGAAGCAAGGUUCAGCUUCUAAAUGUCCAUUGACUUGGACAAAUUWAUUUUAUUAAUGUGACCUCAAAUCAGGUAGGACUACCCGCUGAACUUAAGCAUAUCAAUAA
rnacentral:rRNA from 1 species